CUUCACUUUUCUUCAGUAAUUAGCAAAAUCCUAAGCCUAAAAUUAUGAAGUCAAAGUAGAAAUUAGGGCUUUUGGGUAGAGUUGGAUUAUUGGGGAUUUUGGGUGAUUCAACCUCAAUUUUGGGUCGAAUAUUAAAACAAAUAUAUAUUUGAACUCGUGAACGAAUUUUGUUCUAAGCCUCGAGUUUGGACAUUGUGGAUCCGGGGUCGGAUUUUGGUAUUUUUGGAAGAAUGCUAGAGGCUUCAUUUCUAGGCUAUGGGAUGUUGUUUUUGGGCCAUUAUUGAAACUACUGAAUUGAUAUGUCUAGAUACCAUUGUUUCGGAGUUGGAUUAUAGAGGAAAGACGGUAUAGGAGAGUUGAUUGCUAUUCUUGGACCGAGGUAAGUGUUUGUUCUAACUUUAAUUAGAGGGAGUAGGAUUAGGAUAUGAUUCGCUAAUUGCUAAAUGAUGCGUAUGGUGUAUAUGCAUGGUGACGGUUAUCUACAUACCGGAUUCUAGUAUGAUCAUGGGUCUUAAAUGUGUUUGAACCGGACAUUGUGAAAUAUCUCUCGUCUAAUUGCUCAGUUUCAUACAAUGUGAACGAUUGAGUAAGAAUUGCGAUUGGUAUAUUAUCGGAGUGUCGAUUUGAACAAGAAUUUGUAUUUGAGAAAGAAGUGAUUAACAGAGAAAGUGUGGUGACUCUUCCCUUGCCGGGAUACGUAGUUUAUUAUUGUUGUUACUCCCUUGCCGGGAUAUUUGGGUUAUUAGUUGUACCAUUGCCGGGUUUAAUCAUUAUGUUGUUGAAUUUCCCUAGUGGGACCUCUAUUAGAGAGAUUAUUUGUGUUAUUCGUUAUAAUAUGGGAUCGUGUGGCACAUCGUCCACUUAUAAAUUAUAAUAUGGGAUCGUGUGGCAAGCCACCACUUAUGAACUAUAAUAUGGGAUCAUGUGGCACGCUGUCCACUUAUGAACUAUAAUAUGGGAUCGUGUGGCACACCGUCCACUUGUGAGUUAUGAAAUGGGAUCGUGUGGUGCGCGGACCACUUACGAAUACAUAUUUUGGGAUCGUGUGGCACGCCAUCCACUUAUGAAUUAAGAUAUGGGAUCGUGUGGCGCGCCGACCUCUUAUAUAUGUGACUUAUGAUAUUGAGAUAGUUUCAUUGUUAUAUCCGUUGAUGUGGUUUCACUCUUUCUCCCCCGAGCAUGCCCCUUACCCUUUUUGUUAAUAUUUUUUGUCAUUAUUUCCAUUGCUUCUGUAUACAUACAUAUCUGCACUGUCACACCCCCUUUUUAACCAAACCUUACUAAAUCCUCUUAAAUAAAUAAAAAGAUUUUAGUAAAAACUUGAAAAGGGUGUUUCAAUUUUGAAAGUGACAAAAUUUUGUUUCAAAAGGAAAUAAACUCAGAGUCGCCACCUGACUUUGAAUUCAGUGUGCCAGGUCACCGUUCUUUUUAAAAAUAGUUAUUUUUCCUUUUAAAGCAUUUCAGACUCUAAAACCAAGUCUGCACCAGAGAUUCAGGUACGGGGGUUCAUUUGACUCGGGGAGAAGGUGUUAGGCACUUCUCAAGUCCCGUGAAGGUUACGGUUGCAUACUCGAUCUAGUUGGCUUUUUAGAACAUUCAAAUCGAGGUAAAAUCACAGAAAGCAAAGCAAACACACAUGAAGCUCGAGGUCGUCCCUACCUAAUAAAAGAAAAUUAAAAAAAAUAAAAUUAGUCUUGAUAACCUAUACUAUGCCUCCACUGAUGUUGCCGCGUCCUCCAAAUACAAGUAUUUCGGGGCAUUCUCCGGAAUAAAAUAUACACAAGUCCUUCAGGAUAUUUUCCGGAUAAAUUUAACUAAGGAAACGACCUCUCGCCUCGAAACUAACAAAAUCUUAAAGUUUUCCUACUCGAGUGUUGCCGGCCUAAGCAUGCUCCCAGCAUCCAAAAAAAUAGGAAUAGCAUAAAACAGAAUUCUAUGCAUAAACUUAUGACCAAAGCCUAGAUUUUAUUCAAUUUCAACUAACGAGAGCCUAAUCUUUUCAAAUUCUAACGCCUCAGCCAUUUUCCAAUUUUGUUCAAAAUCAAUUCCAUGAGCCAUUUUCGGUUUUACUAUAAAUAAGGGCAACUUUUAGUCAGAUAUCUCAACUACAAUUGAAUUGAGUAAAUCUACAAGCUAUCAACUAAAAGAAACAAACACUUUGCAUGUGUAACUGGAGGAAUCACAAGAUCGUAUCACUGAACAAGCAACUAAAAUUAAACAAAAAUGAAUGAGCAGAGAGUCGAAGAAUUGAACCUCAGCAGAAUGGUAUCUUCGCCAUUAAUAAAACAUCCCCGAUUCUGCUACAUCAACUUCGUAAGUAUAAAAAUAUGACAACGAACUACGAUUAAAAUCUGGCCGGAAAGCGAAAACAGGGACCGGAUCGGAAACCACGAUAGCAACGGAAACCUUGAGUCAAACUCAACUUCGGAUGACAACCGUGAAAAACAAACGACCAAAAUUAGAUAUACUCUUUUUAUGUUCUUUUUUUUGUUUUUGGUAUUCAGCAAGUGAAAAUGAAAAACAAGAAGGGGAAGACAAAAAUAGUAUUGAAGAACUCUUGGAAGUUUCUGCUGGAUUUUCGUCCAGUUUUGGUAGCGGCUAUAGAGGAUUUCCGGUGUGGUUUUGGUUGAAGGGGUGGCGGGUUACGACUGGAAGGGAUGGUAGACGUUUGGAGUGAAGGAAAAUAGGUGAAGAAGAAGCAAGGGUCGGCGGUGGUAGGGGGCUUGGAGUGUGAUCAGAGACUGCUUUGGUUGUUGUUGGAAUUCCGGCGAUGGAGUGGCGGCGUCGAUGGAUUGGGAAGGAGAAAAAGCGACGGAUGGGUGUUUUUUGGUUAGGGUGGGCGACGGCUUCAGAGCUUGUGCGCAGGGGCGUAAGGGUUAGGUCAUGUUCAAGGUUGAGUAGCUAGGUUUUGCGUUGUUUUUCUCCAUUGUUGUUCAAUGUUGAAGAAGAUGGCUGCUCAUGGAUGUCUUCUCUAGGGUUUUUCUAGGUCUUCUAUGUCUAAGGUUACAAGGUUCCAUUGAAGAAGAUCCACUAGAGGCUAUGGGCUUUUUGUCUUCAUAAAUCUGAUGGGUCGUGGGGCUAGGUCUUAGAGAUUGGGGUGGGGUAAUGAGCUAGGGAUUGAGCUUUAAAAUCGG
rnacentral:lncRNA from 1 species